rnacentral:rRNA from 1 species
GUGGGGAAUCUUAGACAAUGGGCGCAAGCCUGAUCUAGCCAUGCCGCGUGAGCGAUGAAGGCCUUAGGGUUGUAAAGCUCUUUCGUGGGGGAAGAUAAUGACUGUACCCCAAGAAGAAGCCCCGGCUAACUCCGUGCCAGCAGCCGCGGUAAUACGGAGGGGGCUAGCGUUGUUCGGAAUUACUGGGCGUAAAGCGCGCGUAGGCGGACUGGAAAGUCAGGGGUGAAAUCCCGGGGCUCAACCCCGGAACUGCCUUUGAAACUCCCAGUCUUGAGUUCGAGAGAGGUGAGUGGAAUUCCGAGUGUAGAGGUGAAAUUCGUAGAUAUUCGGAGGAACACCAGUGGCGAAGGCGGCUCACUGGCUCGAUACUGACGCUGAGGUGCGAAAGCGUGGGGAGCAAACAGGAUUAGAUACCCGUGUAGUCC